rnacentral:rRNA from 1 species
UGGGGAAUUUUGGACAAUGGGCGCAAGCCUGAUCCAGCCAUGCCGCGUGCGGGAAGAAGGCCUUCGGGUUGUAAACCGCUUUUGUCAGGGAAGAAAUCUUCUGAGUUAAUACCUCGGGAGGAUGACGGUACCUGAAGAAUAAGCACCGGCUAACUACGUGCCAGCAGCCGCGGUAAUACGUAGGGUGCAAGCGUUAAUCGGAAUUACUGGGCGUAAAGCGUGCGCAGGCGGUUUUGUAAGACAGAGGUGAAAUCCCCGGGCUCAACCUGGGAACUGCCUUUGUGACUGCAAGGCUUGAGUGCGGCAGAGGGGGAUGGAAUUCCGCGUGUAGCAGUGAAAUGCGUAGAUAUGCGGAGGAACACCGAUGGCGAAGGCAAUCCCCUGGGCCUGCACUGACGCUCAUGCACGAAAGCGUGGGGAGCAAACAGGAUUAGAUACCCUGGUAGUCCACGCCCUAAAACGAUGUCAACUGGUUGUUGGGAAGGUUCCUUCUCAGUAACGUAGCUAACGCGUGAAGUUGACCGCCUGGGGAGUACGGCCGCAAGGUUGAGACUUAAAGGAAUUGACGGGGUCAUAGCUGUUUCCUG